rnacentral:rRNA from 2 species
UCCAGCAGCCGCGGUAAUACGUAGGUGGCAAGCGUUAUCCGGAUUUAUUGGGCGUAAAGCGAGCGCAGGCGGUUUUUUAAGUCUGAUGUGAAAGCCCUCGGCUUAACCAGAGGAAGUGCAUCGGACAACUGGGAAACUUGAAGUCGCAGAAGAGGACAGUGGAACUCCAUGUGUAGCGGUGAAAUGCGUAGAUAUAUGGAAGAACACCAGUGGCGAAGGCGGCUGUCUGGUCUGUAACUGACGCUGAGGCUCGAAAGCAUGGGUAGCGAACAGGAUUAGAUACCCUGGUAGUCCAUGCCGUAAACGAUGAAUGCUAGGUGUUGGAGGGUUUCCGCCCUUCAGUGCCGCAGCUAACGCAUUAAGCAUUCCGCCUGGGGAGUACGACCGCAAGGUUGAAACUCAAAGGAAUUGACGGGGGCCCGCACAAGCGGUGGAGCAUGUGGUUUAAUUCGAAGCAACGCGAAGAACCUUACCAGGUCUUGACAUCUUUUGAUCACCUGAGAGAUCAGGUUUCCCCUUCGGGGGCAAAAUGACAGGUGGUGCAUGGUUGUCGUCAGCUCGUGUCGUGAGAUGUUGGGUUAAGUCCCGCAACGAGCGCAACCCUUAUGACUAGUUGCCAGCAUUUAGUUGGGCACUCUAGUAAGACUGCCGGUGACAAACCGGAGGAAGGUGGGGAUGACGUCAAAUCAUCAUGCCCCUUAUGACCUGGGCUACACACGUGCUACAAUGGAUGGUACAACGAGUUGCGAGACCGCGAGGUCAAGCUAAUCUCUUAAAGCCAUUCUCAGUUCGGACUGUAGGCUGCAACUCGCCUACACGAAGUCGGAAUCGCUAGUAAUCGCGGAUCAGCACGCCGCGGUGAAUACGUUCCCGGGCCUUGUACACACCGCCCGUCACACCAUGAGAGUUUGUAACACCCGAAGCCGGUGGCGUAACCCUUUUAGGGAGCGAGCCGUCUAAGGUGGGACAAAUGAUUAGGGUGAAGUCGUAACAAGG